CCUUGUUGUGCUUUUUACACCCCACUUCCCCACCCAUUCACUUUCACGCAGCCUGUGUUUUGUGUUCAGGAAUUGAGGCCAGGUGCUGUACCUCGAAUGCCCCGCUGACUACGCGGAGGACAUUUGGGACGAUCGGAAGCCUUCCUCGAGCUGGCCAAACUGAGCAAUUGGGGGAGAAGAGCCUUGGUGAGAGAGUUAAAGAAGAACCCGAAGAUCGCUGUGGCUGAGCCCCAGAGAUGCAGUCAAGAGAUGGGAGAAAGUUCUAGAAAGUCAACCAUCACUGCAGUCCUCCACCAGUCGGGGCUUUAUGGCAGAGUGGCCCGAUGGAAGCCUCUCCUCAGUGCAAGAAACAUGAAAGCCCGCAUGGAGUUUGCUAAACAAACUACUUGAAGGACUCCAAGAUGAAAACCAGGCACUGCUCAUCACCUGUUCAAUUCAGUCCCAACGGUGAAGCAUGGUGGUGGCAGGAUCCUGCUGUGGGGGUGUUUUUCAGCUGCAGGGACAGGAUGACUGGUUGCAGUCAAAGGAAAGAUGGAUGCGGCCAAGUACAGGGAUAUCCUGGACAAAAACCUUCUCCAGAGUGCUCAGAACCUCAGACUGGGCCGAAGGUUCACCUUCCAACAAGACAUUGACCCUAAGCACACAGUUAAAAUUACAAAGGAGUGGCUUCAGAACAACUCCGUGACUGUUUUAGAAUAGCCUAGGCAGAGCCCUGACUUAAACCCAAUUGAGCAUCUCUGCAAAGACCUGAAAAUGGCUGCCAACCAACGUUCACCAUCCAACCUGACAGAACUGGAGAGGAUCUGCAAGGAGGAAUGGCAGAUGCUCCCCAAAUACAGGUGUGAAAAACUUGCAUAAUUUCCAAAAAGACUCAUGGCUGUAUUAGCUCAAAAGGGGACUUCUACUAAAUACUGAGCAAAGGGUAUGAAUACUUAUGGC